GAACGAACUAAACCUCAUUCGAUGUAAGAAAUCCCAAAAAGGACAGGGUUCAUAAACAUUCGCUCUAUGGCCCAUGAUAAUGUUGAGUCUGCUACGUGACUUACAUUUUUGUCGGGCAGAUCACGCCAAUACACACCUGGUCUCUUUGGGAUUUUCUUACAGCGAAUGAGGUUUAGUUCCAUCUC
rnacentral:pre_miRNA from 1 species